rnacentral:rRNA from 2 species
GAGUUUGAUCCUGGCUCAGAACGAACGCUGGCGGCAGGCUUAACACAUGCAAGUCGAGCGCCCCGCAAGGGGAGCGGCAGACGGGUGAGUAACACGUGGGAACGUACCCUUUGGUUCGGAACAACUCCGGGAAACUGGAGCUAAUACCGGAUAAGCCCUAACGGGGAAAGAUUUAUCGCCGAAGGAUCGGCCCGCGUCUGAUUAGCUAGUUGGUGAGGUAAUGGCUCACCAAGGCGACGAUCAGUAGCUGGUCUGAGAGGAUGAUCAGCCACACUGGGACUGAGACACGGCCCAGACUCCUACGGGAGGCAGCAGUGGGGAAUAUUGGACAAUGGGCGCAAGCCUGAUCCAGCCAUGCCGCGUGAGUGAUGAAGGCCUUAGGGUUGUAAAGCUCUUUUGUCCGGGAAGAUAAUGACGGUACCGGAAGAAUAAGCCCCGGCUAGCUUCGUGCCAGCAGCCGCGGUA